GUAACACUGAUUUCUGAAUAGUGCUUUGUGUGUUACACAGUGGCUUCAUAUCCAGCGCCUCCCCCACCUCCUCCGCCCUCACUAGGGGUGGAUUGCCCCUGAGCAGGGUCUGAGGGGCAAUGGAUCGGGGUGCUGCAGGGGCUGAAAGCUGCAACUUUGCAGGAUGUUUGUGUAGUCAUGACAGCCUCGCGGAAAGCCUUGGGAGCAUGGGGCGUCCUAAUCAUCCUGACAACUCCGGGUGGAGGGUACACCGCCGUGCUCCAUGCCAUCGGGACAGAGCUGGGAUAUGCAGGCCAUGGCGAACAAGCACACAGCACAAACCUGUGCCGCACUGUCCAGGGCUCACCCCGAAUCACUCAGUGCUGUGUCACGUGUCAUCCGGACGUUUUUCCUUGAGUGACAGGCAUGACUACGCAGGAAGGCAGAGGAUCGCUGUGGGCCGGAGGCCUGACCCACCCUCAGAAAUGGUGGCCAAGCCCCUCAGGGCCACUUCGUACAGCAACCCUGUCACCAUGCUCACCGGAAACUGGUCUGAUCAGUCCUCGUGACAGCAGAGCAGGAAGAGAGCUGGAGGUUCAUCAGGAGUCACCCAACACGUCACAGACCGGGACAUGGAAGCCAAGAGAGGUGUGGUUAUCCUCAUCACAGUUGACGAUGAUCCUCAGUGCUGGCCACCAGGAUCAAACUAGCCACCAUUGCCUGAGUUCUGCGUGCAGCUGGUCUGCAGCGCUGCCCCACAUGGGACCCUCUCCUUGAGGGGCACAUGACCUUGGGCAGAGCAGCUCUCUUGCGAUGAGGCGAUGAGGGCCUCAGCCCGAGGCGGAUAUGGGCCCCACACCCCAGUGUUCACCACAGCCACCAGGAUGCUCACUUUAACCCGGCGGUCACUGAAUUGAACAAGGCACAGGUGACCCCUCUUUGCGAGUGACCUCCAAUCCAAGCAUCCUGCAGCUGACCCAAGUCCUCACCCUGGAACUCUUCCAUAAGUGUCGGAUAACUCUUAUUGCUGACUGGUUUUAGCUCAAGACCCUUUGAGUUUUAGGACCUUCCACAAAACACUUUGCAAAUAUAGCUCGUGAGCAUUGAAAAACAGCCCCUUCCCCCACCAAUCCCACGAUAAGGGAGCCUGAGAGUCAGAUCUCAUCUCAACCAAGGCUGUGCUCUGAAUCACCCAGGAAAUUCCCCACUGACAUUCACAUGCAAUAGAUGGGGGUGGUGGAGGCGUCUGUGUGUGUUGUUUUUAAGCAUCUCAAGUUGAUUAAUGUAUAGCCAGGUUGGGAAUUACUGCUCUAGUGGAAAACUUACUAGGCAUAGAAGCAGAAAACGAGGAUGUGUGGAAACCUGAGGGAGCAGGACAGCUUCCUUAGCCUAAGUGUCUUUAUCCAUCAAGCAUAGUUGAUAGAACAAAGCAGGUUCACAGACACACUCCAGGAUGCUGGAGGCUGGGUACGGGCCCACCCCUUAAAGACAGCGCAGUGCCAACUUUUCCCAAUUCACAGCAGGGGAAGUUAGUGGAUAGAAUUGCCCAAUUUUAACUUUUGGUUCCUUUUCUCUCAUAAUCUUUUCUUGGCCUUGACAUCUUCUAAAACUCCUCUUUCUAAGCCAAUGACCAACAACACUGCCAUUGUCCCAGUGAAGGCUGCCUUUCCCAUGGCUGAGAAGCCAGGCGAGCCAGAGGCAUGGGUUCUUUGCUCCCUGAUCUCAGGGCUGGUGCAGGCUCUGCACGGCAAGGUGCUGACAAGGCCUGGCAAACAGGUGCUCAGUGCCUUUCCGGCUGGAAUCUUAUGCUUUGUCAGGUGAGUGCUCAGCAAAAAGUGAAGCAAAUUGGGUCCCCGCCAUUCUGUGCCAGUGAUGUAGUUUUCAGACGUUGACCUUCCGGGUCUGUGCUGAUGACCCCUCAUGGUGAUCAUGAACUUCUCCCUAGACCUCCGUGUGAGGACCCUCUGGAAAUCUCUCACCACACCUUUCAACUUUAGCCCAUCACUGAAAUGAUCACAUACUGCUUAUGAAGACGUUGGGACUUGGAGAUGCGUUGAUGUGCACAUAGCCCAACUUCAAAUUCAGGCUAUAGCAUCCCUGGAGGUAAAUAUUGAUUUGGCAUUUCAGUUCUAUCAAUAUUUACCUCUUAAGUCAAUAAAGCUUGAUGUUUAUCUCAACUGACAUUGAUAUCUGCUUAAAGUGUAUUUCUCACUUCCUUCCCUUCUUCAAAUAGCUGGAGAAGAGCUUGUGUUGGGCAGGUCAGAGGGAAUGGCCGAUGGACCCGCUGGUAUGGAAUGAGUCCUGAGACUCUCAUUUCCUCUCUGGGCCUCAGUAUCCCAGUGAAGCAGCUACGUCGUCUGGGGUAGAUCCCCUGGGGCUUGUUGUCGCCUGCCAGGAAAAUUUAGGACAGGGACACUAAAGAGGAGUAUAGGAGUGGAGGUUUAAUAGGGGGAAAAGAGAAAGAGAAACAGCUUCCUCUGUAGAGGAAGGGGUCUCCAAGCAGAAAGGACGCACUGGUGGUGAAUGCACUGUGUUUUAUAGUCCAGUUUGAGGAGGCAGUGUCUGAUUUACGUAGGGCUCACAGAUUGGUUCGAUCAGGUAUGAGGUUUACACAGUGCGUGGGGAAGGCUGCUCUUAUUAUGCAAAUGGGUUUUCCAGUUGAUAGGGGCCAUCUUGUCUGCUCCUUACAGAACACGUGGCUGGCAGAGAAGUAAAGGUGGAGCUGCCAUCUUGAAAAUGUCUAGCUCUGACUGGGCUCGGUGGCUCACACCUGUAAUCCCAGCACUUUGGGAGGCCGAGGUGGGCAGAUCACCUGAGGUCAGGACUUCAAGACCAGCCUGGCCAACAUGGUGAAACCCCAUCUCUACUAAAAAUAUAAAAUUUAGCAGGGCAUGGUGGCAGAUGCCUGCAAUCCCAGCUACUCGGGAGGCUGAGGCAGGAGAAUUGCUUGAACCCCGGAGGUGGAGGUUGCAGUAAGCCAAGAUCGCACCACUGAACUCCAGCCUGGGCAACAGAGCAAGACUCCAUCUCUAAAUAAAUGAAUAAAUAAAUAAAUAGAUAGAUAGAUAAAUGAAAAUGUCUAGUCUUUAGUUCCUGCCAGCAUUCACCCGUGCAAGCUCCCAGCUUGCAGGCUGCUCUUUGUUAGAAAAUGAUUUGGGGCUGCUUUUCGUUAAAAAGGAAAGCCUUAUGGAGGACUCCCAUACCCUUGCUAUCUGCCUAAGUAAUUCCUUCUUAACUCCUGGAUCUCUAGGUUGUUUCGGAGACCACUUCGCUGCUGACAUCUCAUGGCUCCGCUGUUGCAUAUUCAGAAGGACAGAGCAGGCGGGCGGCCUCAGGUUUGCAAGUGGCAAAACCUGAAAAAUAAAACACUGUUUUUUAUUCUGAUUGACUUUUUAAAAAGUGCUGAUUUCAGCUGGUACUGCUUGGAAGCAAAUUUCUGGGGAAAGUAAAGUCAUAAAAACAAUCAGACAGCCUUAAAACUGGGACCAUGAAGAUGGGGUCCCAUCAAAGAAUCCUGGCUCCUAUGGUUGAGGCUCAGCGGAGGGAGCAGUAAGUUCCCUGCAACGUCUCCAAGCCUACAGCCCGAGGCCUCUCGGACCCGACACCCUGGCGGACAGCUGCAGAGGGGCAGCCCCACCACGCCUGCCUUGCUCAGAGGCACCCCGGGACCAGCAUCAGCUAGCAGAGCUGGGAGGUCACUCAGGCCAAAUGCUGGCAAUUUCAUGGAGAACCCACAGUGACAGAACUUCCACAGAGGACUGUCCUUGAGAUGGUAAAAUCAGUGAAAUGGAGUCAGUAAAACCGAGCACACGAGGCCUGGUGCCUGGGAGUGGGAGGAGCCCAGGCAGCCUUCACCAGUGUGUUGGUUCAUUCUAACGUGUCAACUCGACUGGGCCACAGGAUGCCCAGAUAUUUGGUUAAACAUUAUUCUGGGUGUGUCUGGAUGAGAUUAGCAUUUGAAUCGGUGGAUUGAGCAAAGCAGGUGGUCCUCCCUGUAUGGCUGGGCCUCUUCCAAGCAGCUGGGGGCCUGAAAAGAACAAAAAGCACUGGUCAGGGAGAAGGCCCUCUCUGCCCGUUUUCAAGCCGGGCUGGCAGUCUUCUGCACUCAGACUGGAACUUACGCUAGUGGUUCGCCCAGGCCUCCAGCUUGCCAACUGCUGAUUUUUGGACUUGUCAGCCUCCACCUCCAUAGCAGCAUGAAAAAUUCCUCAUCAUCAAUCUCUCUAUGCAUAUAUCCUAUAUAUCCUUUUGGUUUUAUUUCUCUGGGGACCCCUAGCACACCAGGCAAGGUGAGAGGCCCUUGAGGAGGACCGGCUGUGGCUCGCUGGUCUAAAGCUCUAAGCUCCUACUGCUGCUGACUCCAGCUCUGCAGAAGAUACAGUGGUGACAUCUCCUGGCUGCCAAAAAGACGGGUGAGUGUGAGCCUGGGGCUCUCAGAUGGCUGCAAAGAUCAGGGUAUCCAGGGUGUUAUGUAAGCAGGCAGCUUCCCCUGCAGUCUGUGCUCUAGGCUCAAAGCACAAGGGCCACAAAGAAGCCCAGCCCAGGAUCCUGUCUGCCCGGUGAGCUGGGCAAGGUGAGCAUGCCUGAGGAGUCAUGGCCGAGCACGCAGCACUGAGCACAGAUCCUGGAGGGAGAGGGAUGACCCUCAGCCCCUGCCCUCCGGGACCUCAUGGUACAGGUGAGGGAGGGUGGGUGCUCAGGUUGGAGUCAGUGCAGCUGAGGAAAUCUGCAUGUGCCCCUUGAUGGCAGAGGGCCCCGGGAUGCUUCCCCUCUCUCAGCCCCCACUGGAACGCAGCCGCACCUUCCCCAGAGGACGCCAGGUAGACUCAGUGGCCAGAGGUUAGGGGGAUUCUGCACAGGCGGCUCAGGGUGUGCUGGCACAUACCACCCUCGCCAGGGCCCAGGGCCCUUGAACGCCCCAGUGUUCAGUGCUGGCCUUGAACCAGGGAUGGCCUUCGGGUGAGUGCUGUGGGGCUGAGUGAGCCUGAAGGAGGACCCUCGGGUGAGAAGAGGCUUCUGGGAGGAGCAG
rnacentral:lncRNA from 1 species